GCCAGAGCCAGGGCCCUGCUGAACAGCCCCAGGGGAGUCCAGGGCCGAAGCUUGUGCUACAUCAGGACCCCUGGGCAGAGCCUUCCUGCUCCUACAGGAGGUCUCCAACCUCACUGCGGAGGGGAAGAGAGGGGCUGAGGGAAGCAUCUG
rnacentral:lncRNA from 13 species